rnacentral:rRNA from 1 species
CCCUUAAGGCUAGGACUUCACACUUCAUACAAUGGUCGGGACAGAGGGUCGCCAACCCGCGAGGGGGAUACAAUCCCAGAUCCCCGAUCGUAGUCCGGAUCGCAGUCUGCAACUCGACUGCGUGAAGUCGGAAUCGCUAGUAAUCGCGGAUCAGCAUGUCGCGGUGAAUACGUUCCCGGGUCUUGUACACACCGCCCGUCACACCAUGGGAGUGGGUUUUACCAGAAGUAGUUAGCCUAACCGCAAGGGGGGCG